rnacentral:rRNA from 1 species
UACAGAGGUGGCAAGCGUUGUUCGGAAUUACUGGGCGUAAAGGGCGCGUAGACGGCCAUCUAAGUCAGACGUGAAAUCCCCCGGCUUAACCUGGGAACUGCGUCUGAUACUGGACGGCUUGAGUAUGGGAGAGGGAUGUAGAAUUCCAGGUGUAGCGGUGAAAUGCGUAGAUAUCUGGAGGAAUACCGGUGGCGAAGGCGGCAUCCUGGACCAUUACUGACGCUGAGGCGCGAAAAGCUAGGGGAGCAAACGGG